UGGUUAUUUUUUUUAUUCAAAGUUUGAAGAUUUAGAUUCAUACCGUUAAAAAUAACCAAAUAGAUUCAUACCGUUAAAAAUAACCAAAUGAGGGGCUGUUUGUUAAUCAAUGGAAUCACCUUCUGGAGAUUGGGACGUAAUUUGAAUAAAGGAUUUAACAGUGGGGGCAUUUUAGUCAUUUCAUAAAAUGACUUCAACUUAGGGCUCAGAAGCCCCCGUCUCUUACUCUCUUUUGUUUUGAUGGGGUAGAGGAUAUGAAUCGUUCCCAAAGGAGGUCACCAAGGAAGUCGAUUAUAGACGCGAAGGGGCAAUCGGCGACCAGAAGGGAGCACGAUGGUUCGUCGCUCGACUCGCAAUCGGUGGCGGCCUCCGUCGUUCGACUAGACCGAAGAAGAAGGAUCGAAGCAGCGAGGCGGCUGUGACCUCGGACUAGAAGAAAGAGACGUAGCAGCGGGGCUGCUCGUCUUCAGUCUUGGAAGGAGUUGCGAAGGAAAACGAGAUGGCUGCGAGGCCUGAUGGCGGUCGUCAUCUCGCGAAGAAGAUGGAGCGCCUCCGAUGCCUGGAAUUUGCCUUCGGUCGUCGACCGAUCAUGAAGAAAAAGGAGCGCCUCCGUUCUUUGACCGGUUGUGUAGAAGAACUAAGGUAGAAGUCAAAACGGGUCUUCAAUUUCUGGACUGACCGAAUAGAAGAAGAUGAACGGAAGCAGCCAUGGCUAGCAGGACAAUCAUCGAUCAUGGUAGCUAGGGCGUUUGGGUGGUUCUUCUUCAGCAGAAAAAAAUGAACGGGAUCAGCAACAUGUAUGGUUUUGAUUGUUUUGAUAUAAAAUCGAUGCGGUUUUUGGAGUGUUUGGGUUUGAUUGCUUGGCAGGAAGAAGGAAACACGAAGAAGAAAUGGGCUACUGCCCUCUUGGUUGUUCUUGGCAGCAAUCGAAGGAGGAGAAGAAGGAAUAACAGAGGGGGAUGUAACAAACACGAAGGAACAAGCAAUAGAGAGUAGUCUAUGGUGGAGUGGUGUGUUGCACGAUCUGUAGGUGGCUGAGAGGGGCUGAAGGAUUGGGACUGCCGCCGCCGGCGAAGAAUCGCCCUGCCGAAAUCUUCUUCAGUGAUUCUAUAAUGAUGGGGGUUUUUGAAAAAAAAAAAUCUGAUUUUACAAAGAUUUUAGUGGAUUUUAAUUGAUUUGUUUUACAAAUAUUAGAUUUUUAAGAGAUAUUUGAUGUAAAAUCAAAUGGUUGGUUUAUUUUAUUUGUUUAUUUAUUUUAUGAUGAAAUCUCUGAUUCUCGAUUCUUGUGCCA